rnacentral:rRNA from 1 species
UCGAGCGAGAAAGGGGCAGCAAUGUCCUGAGUAAAGCGGCGCACGGGUGAGUAACACGUGGGGAAUCUACCUCUGGGUGGGGAAUAACUCUGGGAAACCGGAGCUAAUACCGCAUAAGCCUGGGAAGGGAAAGUCGAAAGACGCCGGGAGAGGACCCCGCGGCCGAUUAGCUAGUUGGUGAGGUAACGGCUCACCAAGGCAAAGAUCGGUAGCCGGCCUGAGAGGGCACACGGCCACACUGGCACUGAAACACGGGCCAGACUCCUGCGGGAGGCAGCAGUGGGGAAUCUUGCACAAUGGGGGAAACCCUGAUGCAGCGACGCCGCGUGAGCGAUGAAGCCCUUCGGGGCGUAAAGCUCUUUCGGCCCGAACGAUAAUGACGGUACGGGAAGAAGAAGCUGCGGCUAACUACGUGCCAGCAGCCGCGGUAAUACGUAGGCAGCAAGCGUUGUUCGGAGUUACUGGGCGUAAAGAGUGCGUAGGCGGUGUCGAAAGUUUGGCGUGAAAUCUCCCGGCUUAACUGGGAGGGUGCGCCGAAAACUGCGAUGCUGGAGUGUGGGAAAGGCAAGCGGAAUUCCUGGUGUAGCGGUGAAAUGCGUAGAUAUCAGGAGGAACACCGGCGGUGUAGACGGCUUGCUAGACCAUAACUGACGCUGAGGCACGAAAGCGUGGGUAGCAAACAGGAUUAGAUACCCUGGUAGUCCACGCCCUAAACGAUGCAUACUUGGUGUGGGCAGUUCAUUCUGUCCGUGCCGGAGCUAACGCGU